rnacentral:rRNA from 1 species
CGCGUAGGCGGCUUGUACAGUCAGACGUGAAAUUCCUGGGCUCAACCUGGGGGCUGCGUUUGAUACGUAUGGGCUUGAGUUCGGAAGAGGGUCGUGGAAUUCCCAGUGUAGAGGUGAAAUUCGUAGAUAUUGGGAAGAACACCGGUGGCGAAGGCGGCGACCUGGUCCGAUACUGACGCUGAGGCGCGAAAGCGUGGGGAGAAACA